rnacentral:rRNA from 1 species
UACAGAGGGUGCGAGCGUUAAUCGGAAUUACUGGGCGUAAAGCGUGCGUAGACGGUUAUUUAAGUCGGGUGUGAAAGCCCCGGGCUCAACCUGGGAAUUGCAUUCGAGACUGAAUAGCUAGGGUACGGUAGAGGGAAGCAGAAUUUCCGGUGUAGCGGUGAAAUGCGUAGAUAUCGGAAGGAACAUCAGUGGCGAAAGCGGCUUCCUGGACCAGUACCGACGUCAGGCACGAAAGCGUGGGAGCA